rnacentral:rRNA from 1 species
UACGUAGGUGACAAGCGUUGUCCGGAUUUACUGGGCGUAAAGAGCGCGCAGGCGGUCGUUCAAGUCGCGUGUGAAAGCCCCCGGCUCAACUGGGGAGGGUCACGCGAUACUGAUCGACUCGAAGGCAGGAGAGGGUAGUGGAAUUCCCGGUGUAGAGGUGAAAUUCGUAGAUAUCGGGAGGAACACCGGUGGCGAAGGCGGCGACCUGGGUCGAUACUGACGCUGAGGUGCGAAAGCGUGGGGAGCAAACAGG